CAUGGAAAAUAGCACAUGUUAUAUUGUUUGGCGCGCGCAAUAAUCGACGGAAAUAUCGAUUGCGCGGUAGCAACCCACGUUCGUGAGCCAGUUUGUUGCCCGUCGAUAGUUAGUUGCUUCAAUAUCGCAAGCAAGAAAUCAUCGUCUUUCAUUUCCAUUUUGGACGAGGUUAGAACAACCAGCAGCAGUCGUGCUUUGCUCUGCAGAGAACACCCACAGCAGUUCCAAGGGAGCCCGUCCAGCCAGGAGUCAACAGUACCCAUAUCUAGAGUAUUAUUUAGUUGCUCCCAGCAGGCACAGCGUGCGUUUCAUAUAUCGUCAAUUCGAUACGAAACAUCCAGAUCAGUCGACGAAGCACUCCCAGCAGACAAGCCAACUACUGAUUUGUCCAGACGUACGAGGAAAUCACUUUUUAUUGAUCCAGACGAGCAAUCAGAGGAAAUCAAAAUUGAAGGAAUAAUGGCACCUCACGACCGCGAUUUUGGAUCCGGACCACGUGGCGGACGCGACCGCGAUGAAGACCGACGUGGCGGUGGUGCAUCACGUUUUGGUGGUGGCGGCGGCGACUAUCACGGCGUGCGCAAUGGUCGCAUUGAGAAGCGUCGUGAUGAUAGAGGCGGCGGAUCGCGUUUUGGCGGCGGAGGUGGGGGCGGCGGCUUCGGCGGUGAUCGUCGCGGUGGUGGCAGCCAAGACUUGCCCAUGCGCCCAGUGGAUUUCUCCAAUUUGACACCGUUCAAGAAGAACUUCUAUCAGGAGCAUCCCACGGUGGCCAAUCGGUCGCCCUAUGAGGUGCAGCGAUAUCGCGAUGAGCAAGAGAUCACAGUUCGCGGUCAGGCAGCCAACCCCAUACAGGACUUCUCGGAGGCCUAUUUGCCCGACUAUGUUUUGAAAGAGAUUCGCCGCCAGGGCUACAAAGCGCCCACACCAAUUCAGGCCCAGGGCUGGCCGAUUGCAAUGAGCGGCGCUAACUUUGUGGGCAUUGCCAAGACAGGCUCGGGCAAGACGCUCGGCUACAUUCUACCAGCCAUUGUACACAUCAACAACCAGCAGCCACUGCAGCGCGGUGAUGGUCCCAUUGCCUUGGUGCUGGCACCUACCCGUGAGCUGGCUCAACAGAUUCAGCAGGUGGCCACCGAGUUCGGUUCGUCCUCCUAUGUGCGCAACACAUGCGUCUUUGGCGGCGCACCGAAGGGAGGCCAAAUGCGUGAUCUCCAGCGUGGUUGUGAGAUCGUCAUUGCUACACCCGGUCGCCUCAUUGAUUUCCUCUCGGCUGGCGCUACCAAUCUGAAGCGUUGCACCUACUUGGUGCUGGACGAAGCCGAUCGCAUGUUGGACAUGGGCUUCGAACCCCAGAUUCGCAAGAUUGUCUCACAGAUUCGUCCGGACCGCCAAACACUCAUGUGGAGCGCCACCUGGCCCAAAGAGGUGAAACAGUUGGCGGAAGACUUCCUCGGCAACUACAUACAAAUCAAUAUUGGUUCCCUGGAGCUAUCGGCCAACCACAACAUUCGCCAAGUGGUAGAUGUUUGCGACGAAUUCAGCAAGGAAGACAAACUCAAGAGCCUACUGUCCGACAUAUAUGACACCAGCGAGAACCCCGGCAAGAUAAUUAUCUUUGUGGAGACCAAGCGUCGUGUGGAUAAUCUUGUGCGUUUCAUACGCAGCUUUGGCGUGCGCUGUGGCGCUAUCCACGGCGACAAGUCGCAGUCGGAGCGUGACUUUGUUCUGCGCGAGUUCCGCUCGGGCAAGUCCAACAUUCUGGUGGCCACCGAUGUGGCGGCCCGUGGCUUGGAGGCCGUUUAUUGUAGUAUGAUGGGGAGGAUAAAGGACAAGCGGCAAGUCCCAAUCCCAGUUCUCGUAACAUGAGCGAGCGACUUUUGUUCAUCAAAAACUGAAUUUGACAAGUUUUUUUGUUUAAACAAUGAGCAAAAGGUAACAGAUAAAGUUCACCUGAUCGAGUCGUGUUCGCUUGGCUGCCACACGGACGCGCGAUCAAUGUAAACGCAUUCGCAUACGAGACCGGCAUUCAUAUAUCCCCAACAUCAUGCAUCAUACGUGGCCUCUGCAGUCCUCUCCUCGAGAAAGAGCGUUGAGCCAACCUAACAACCAACCAACCAACCAAUCAUACCAAACCAAGAACGAACCAAAUCAACAAGCAAACGGUCAAGGGGCACAUCUUGUUGUCACCAAAAAAAAGAAAAAUAAAUUAAUAAUUAAAGUAAAUGAGAAGGCGGCGCUACAAAGCAGGCAAAAACAUCUUGAGGCGCUGAUGUCGUCGGUCGGCCGGUUGCUAAGCACACACCACAAACAUCAGCCAGGCAGCGACAGCAACACAGAACGAAUGUACCAUAAACUCGGCCCCAAAAAGAGGACGAUGCACCAUGCGCGGCGCACACAUUUGCACAGACACACACGAACACACGAGGCCCACACACAUUGCCUCUCCACUCCACUCUACAAAGCAUCAGAGAGCACGCUGUGGAUAUGUAUGGACGAAGAAGUGCGAGUCGCACAUCGAGAUCAGCCGUUAUGGAGAGCUGUGUGAUCGUCGCUUGUUCGCCGUUUCGAUCGUCGCUACUGGUGCUGCUGCUGCUGCUGCUGAGUGCCUAGCUACCAAAUGGGUCGCCACGCCCACUGCCUGCCUACCUGUCUGCCUGCGCCGCCAUUGCCCGUCGUCUAGUGGGUGGCAACGGAUCCUGGACACCGGCGCUUGUUAAAACGUUCUCCCUGGUCGACAUAAAAACUGUAUACUGAAUAGAUAAAUAUACACAGACGCGCCUCUCUUCUAUAAAUAUGGAGGAGAAGGAUGCGGCUGCCGGUUGCCGGUUGGCCUGGCACACUCGCUCGCCAGCCCGACCCCCCAAGUCUAAGUCGUGUCGAGUCAGAUGAGGUGCACGCGGCUCAUUGCAACAAACUCUCGCCGCUCGCUUCGCCAUGCGACCUUUAAUUUUUGUGUGUUUGGAGAGAGUUUGGACCACGAGCUGCGCAGCGCCACAAAACUUUGAGAUUUUGAUUGAGAGAAAAUUGAAUGAAACAAUUUGUAGCACCAAGAAGACGUCGAUGGCAUCAAAUAUGUCAUCAACUUUGACUAUCCACAAAACAGUGAGGAUUAUAUUCAUCGUAUCGGACGCACAGGACGUUCUAAUACCAAGGGCACGUCCUUUGCCUUCUUCACGAAAAACAAUGCCAAACAGGCCAAGGCGUUAGUCGAUGUACUGAGAGAAGCUAAUCAAG